CUAUCUACAUGUCUGUCAGAGGUUAUCAUUUUAAUUGGACAGACUAAUCUGGCCAAAACCGGUCUAUAACCAAACAAUAUUAGUAGUGAUGGACACCCCGUCGCCCGAUUGGCAUUACAUUACCGACAAACCGACGGUCGAAGGCAGCAUCUCCGGGAUCUUUUACCUGAAAUCCCAAACAACUUCCGGGCCCAUGCCGGGAUACAGGCCCGAAUAACCCUACAACGAAAUCCUUGAUCCACGACGAUUACCGAAAUCAUCGAUUUCUUGUCAAAGUUGUUGCCAGGGUCCAGGGAUUGUCUACCCAAAAACAUACAGCUGACUUGACCAGCAAAUGAAGCUGCUCCCACAGAGCGUCCAAUGAGCAAAAGAACAGCAGCUGAGGAGGUCAUCAUCAUCUUUUAUGCCGUGGCCUCCUUCUGCGGUGAAGAAUUUCAUAGGCAUCCUGGAUCUUUAUAAACAUCUGCUGGGCCUCCACUGGCUGGCCUCCUCGCUGUACCCUAUUCCCCCCGUCACCACGCUAAACAGUCUGUACGGCAACAGCAGGAGGUACUCAAACACCCCCCUGAGCCACGGG